UACAGAGGAUGCAAGCGUUAUCCGGAAUGAUUGGGCGUAAAGCGUCUGUAGGUGGCUUUUUAAGUCCGCCGUCAAAUCCCAGGGCUCAACUCUGGACAGGCGGUGGAAACUACCAAGCUGGAGUACGGUAGGGGCAGGAGGGAAUUUCCGGGUGGAGCGGUGAAAGUGCGUAGAGAUCGGAAAGAACACCAACGGCGAAAGCACUCUGCUGGGCCGACACUGACACUGAGAGACGAAAGCUAGGGGAGCGAAUGGG
rnacentral:rRNA from 1 species